AGCAGCCGCGGUAAUUCCAGCUCCAAUAGCGUAUAUUAAAGUUGUUGCAGUUAAAAAGCUCGUAGUUGAAUUUUGGGUUUGGCCGAUUGGUCCGUUCUUGUAGCGAGUACUGGUCGGUUGGGCCUCACCGCUUGGUGAUGCGUAAUGUCCUUUAUUGGGUGUUGCGAGUAGCCAAGACCUUUACCUUGAAAAAAUUAGAGUGUUUAAAGCAGGCUUAUGCCAGAAUACAUUAGCAUGGAAUAAUAGAAUAGGACGAUUUAUCUAUUUUGUUGGUUUCUAGGAAAAUCGUAAUGAUUAAUAGGGAUAGUUGGG
rnacentral:rRNA from 1 species